UUCGGUUUGAUUCAGUCUCCG
rnacentral:piRNA from 1 species